rnacentral:misc_RNA from 1 species
AAGGAGCACUUCUAAGCCAGGCUUGCCUGGUUCAGAGGCCAGUACAUCAGCGAAUGUCUGAUGCUGGUUGCUCAUGGGUGGAACGUUGACUACUCGGCACGAUCAGGAUGAGAACUGUUAGUACUGCUUCGGCGUGGAACACAGGAUCUUGGCUGGACGUGUCGGGCACGCUGUUGGGUAUCUGAGGGUACGGCCGUUGGCCUGCUUUCAGUGCCGGCCCCAGUGCACUCGGGAUGUUGUCCCGGGGUGAUGGGUGGUUGGUCGUUGUUUGAGAACUGCACAGUGGACGCGAGCAUCUGU